GCAGUGGUGGUUCAGUGGUAGAAUUCUCAUCUUCCACAUGGGACACAAAGGUUUAAUUCCCAGUCAAUGCA
rnacentral:tRNA from 1 species